rnacentral:rRNA from 1 species
GGAUGCGAUCAUACCAGCACUAAUGCACCGGAUCCCAUCAGAACUCCGAAGUUAAGCGUGUUUGGGUGAGAGUAGUACUAGGAUGGGUGACCCCCUGGGAAGUCCUCGUGUUGCAUCCCCCA